rnacentral:rRNA from 1 species
AUUGAACGCUGGCGGCAGGCCUAACACAUGCAAGUCGAACGAGUGGCGGACGGGUGAGUAAUGUCUGGGAAACUGCCUGAUGGAGGGGGAUAACUACUGGAAACGGUAGCUAAUACCGCAUACCAUCAGAUGUGCCCAGAUGGGAUUAGCUUGUUGGUGGGGUAACGGCUCACCAAGGCGACGAUCCCUAGCUGGUCUGAGAGGAUGACUGACCACACUGGAGCUGAGACGCGUGUCAGACUCCUAGGGGGGGCAAGAGUGGUGAAUAUUGCACAAUGGGCGCAAGCCUGAUGCAGCCAUGCCGCGUGUAUGGAGAGGGCCUUCGGGUUGUAAAGUACUUUCAGCGGGGAGGCGUUACCCACAGAAGAAGCACCGGCUAACUCCGUGCCAGCCGCCGGUAAUUC